AUACUUACCUGGAAGGGGUGAAUGGGUGAUCAAGAAGGUCCAUGGCCUAGGCUAGUGACCUCCAUCAAGAAGGUCAGUUUCAAACUUCAAACUUUUUUGUCUUGAAACUUUAUUAUAAUUUGAUAUUAGUUUGUUUUGUUUAAGAAUUGGACUUG